rnacentral:misc_RNA from 1 species
AACUUUUGGCAAUGGAUCUCUUUGCUCUCGCAUCGAUGAAGAACGCAGCGAAAUGCGAUAAGUAAUGUGAAUUGCAGAAUUCAGUGAAUCAUCGAAUCUUUGAACGCACCUUGCACCCUUUGGCAUUCCGAAGGGUAUGCUCGUUUGAGUGUCAUUGUACUCUCACACUCCCGAUGCUUUUGGAUUGGGAGUGGUGGACUUGGGUGUUGCUGCUUUACUGUGGCUCACCACAAAUGGAGUAGUGCAACUCUUGGUUGGACAUAGUACGGCGUGAUAAGUGUCUUCGCCGGCGCCUCAUUAGAGGGUGGCCGAUCGGGAGCUCUGUGCUUCAAACCGUCUUCGGACAACAUCUGACAACUUGACCUCAAAUCGAGUAAGACUACCCGCUGAACUUAAGCAUAUCAAUAAGCGGAGGCU